ACUUAGCUGGGGGGGUGGUGGUGGUGGUAAUAGACAUUAAUUACAUUUUGGUUGGAUGAAUGAGGAAUGCAGGAUUGCAUUAGUCACGAUAGAUCUGCUUGAUUUGCUCACAAGUGCCCAUUGAGAUAGCACUUCAUGUUGGAGUAUUAUCUCCUUGCAACCUUGUUUUUGUUUUUGUUUAUUUUGGCAGUCGAACCCAGAGUCGUGCACGAGCUAAGUACACGCCCUGCCCUUCAGCCACAUCUACAGUCCUUCACUUUGCCACUUUCUCCAGCAGCAUCUUCUUUCAUCCCGUGAGAUGAUCAGGAUUCCAAGCAUCUCCCCUCCAGCUCUGUGGAGGCAAGGCUCCCCAGCAGACUCGAUUUAUUUUGGGCUGUACUUUCCUGAAACUGAGUCUUAGGAUGUGAUUCUCAUCCUGCUGGUAUCCUGCCACAUUGCCGUGUGACUUCAGCUCUUCCAGGGAAGACUCGGGGUCCAGAGGAUCUCAACCUCUCUGUAUAGCGCAGACAGAGAUGACCAACUUACAGCUGGAAAUGUGUCCCAGAGGAAAGCCUGCGCGACCUAGUCACCAAAACUAUGCACAACAGCAGAAGCAAAGCUUGUCAAUUUUAUCAAUUAUGUGUGCCAAGGACUGACGUGGCUCAGAGUUUCCAAAGUCUGAGUGAUUUGUGACCAUUAGCAACACAGACACUGGAAGAUUCAAGCGGCCAGUCAGUGCUGGGAAUUUUCUCAUUUCAGGAAAUUUUGGCGGUGAGGCAUGCUAGAACCUCAGCAACUGGAGUGUUGGGAGGAGGAAAGUCAAACAGGCAGGAAGGGAGUGUGGGAAAAGACAGGAAGAUGACAUGCCGCAUGAGCUUUCAGGAUGGACAGCUCUAUGUGGAGUCCCUCCUCCCCAGGCUCAGUUUCCUCACUGACAAAUAGAGAUGAUGAGAAUUGUUA